CCAAUAGCGUAUAUUAAAGUUGUUGCAGUUAAAAAGCUCGUAGUUGAAUUUCGGGGUCAGUAGGCUGGUCGUGCCACAGGUAUGCACUGGUCUCACUGAUUCCUCCUUCCUGAUGAACCGUAAUGCCAUUAAUUUGGUGUUGCGGGGAAUCUGGACUGUUACUUUGAAAAAAUUAGAGUGUUUAAAGCAGGCUAACGCUGGAAUACAUUAUCAUGGAAUAAUGAAAUAGGACGAUCGAUCCUAUUUUGUUGGUUUCUAGGAUUGACGUAAUGAUUAAUAGGGAUAGUUGGGGGCAUUAGUAUUCAAUUGUCAGAGGUGAAAUUCUUGGAUUUAUUGAAGACUAACUACUGCGAAAGCAUUUGCCAAGGAUGUUUUCAUUAAUCAAGAACGAAAGUUAGGGGAUCGAAGACGAUCAGAUACCGUCGUAGUCUUAACCAUAAACUAUGCCGACUAGGGAUCGGAUGAUGUUAAUUUUUUAAUGACUCAUUCGGCGCCUUACG
rnacentral:rRNA from 1 species